AUCCAGGGGCAACUCCCCCUGCUGGAACAAUGGAGAUUUUACAACCCACAUGACAUAGCAACUCUAGGCAAGUGCUUCAUUUAAACUGACCUGGUAAGCCGCCCACUCCUCCUGCCCCCGGGCUUGUUCCUGCAGCCCCUCCUGCUCCUCCUCCUCCUCCUGCUACACUGCCUGAAUGCAUGAAAACUCACCUGUGCCACCUCCAGUGACGCCCCCUGUUCCUCCACCAGGAACCCCCCCUGCUCCUCCACCUGAUGAAC